CACGUAGGGUGCGAGCGUUGUCCGGAAUUAUUGGGCGUAAAGAGCUCGUAGGCGGUGUGUCGCGUCGGCCGUGAAAACCUGCAGCUUAACUGUGGGCUUGCGGUCGAUACGGGCAUCACUGGAGUUCGGCAGGGGAGACUGGAAUUCCUGGUGUAGCGGUGAAAUGCGCAGAUAUCAGGAGGAACACCGGUGGCGAAGGCGGGUUCUCUGGGCCGAUACUGACGCUGGAGGUGCGAAAGCGUGGGGAGCAAACAGG
rnacentral:rRNA from 1 species